CAGCGCCGCCAUCUUCCGCUCCGUCCCCACCCCCCUGACCAACGACUGGAACGCCCUCAUCCGCGGCCACGCGCAGAGCCACCACCCCAUCAACGCAAUCACAUGUUACCUCCUCAUGUCGCGCGCCCCCUGCAAAUCCGACGCCCUCACCUGCUCCUUCUUCCUCAAGGCCUGCGCCCGCGCAUUAGCCCCGAUCGAGUCCUUCCAGAUGCACGCACACGUGCUGAAAUUAGGGUUCGACGCGGAUGUUCUCCUGCAGACCACGCUGCUCGACGCCUACGCCAAAUUUGGGGAUUUGGAUAGCGCGUGCAAGGUGUUUGAUAAAAUGUCUAAGAGGGAUAUCGCGUGCUGGAACGCCUUGAUCUCUGGGCUGGCGCAGGGGAAUCAGCCGCAUAAAGCGCUGAAGCUGUUUGAUAAGAUGACUCAAUCGAAUAUGAUGCCGAACGAGGUCACUGUCUUAGGCGCGCUGGCCGCGUGCGCUCAGCUUGGGGCCAUCGGAGAGGGAGAAAGAGUGUGUGAUUACAUAAAAAUUAACCGAUUUGAUGAGAAUGUGAUUGUGUGCAAUGCCGUGAUUGACAUGUACGCGAAAUGCGGGAUGGUAGAGAAGGCGUAUAGCGUCUUCGAGGGCAUGAGGUGUUGCAAAAGCAUAAUCACAUGGAACACGAUGAUCAUGGCGUUUGCAAUGGACGGCGACGGAGAGAAAGCAAUGGAGCUCUUGAGCCGCAUGGGCGGGGCAGGGGCGGCGCCGGAUGAUGUCACUUUCUUGGCAGCAUUGUGUGCCUGCAACCAUUCAGGGAUGGUGGAGGAAGGGCUGCGCCUCUUCGAAUCCAUGGAAGACCACGGCGUAAGGGGGAACAUGAAGCACUACGGGAGCGUGGUGGAUCUGCUGGGGCGAGCGGGGAGAUUGGAGAAGGCGUUCGACAUCGCCGAGUCCAUGCCCAUGCCACCGGAUGCCGUGCUGUGGCAGACCCUCCUAGGCGCUGCAAAGACGCACGGGAACGUGGAGAUGGCGGAGAGGGCAUCAAGGAGGCUCGCGGAGAUGGGGUCGAGCGCGUGUGGGGACUUCGUGCUGCUGUCGAAUGUGUACGCUGCACAUUCGAGGUGGGGCGACGUGGGGAGGGUGAGGGAGGCGAUGAGGAAGAAGAAGGUCAAGAAGGUGCCCGGGUUCAGCUACAUUGAGAUGAAUGGUGCCAUAUUCCAGUUCUACAAUGGCGACAAAAGCCAUCCAAAUUGGAGAGAGAUAUAUGGGAAAGUGGAAGAGAUUACUUGUAGAAUUAGAGAAUUUGGGUAUGAGGCGGAAACUAACUAUGUGUUGCAUGAUAUAGAGAAUGAAGAGAAGGAGAAUGCGUUGUGUUAUCACAGUGAGAAAUUGGCUUUGGCCUUUGGUUUGAUCAGUGGAAAGGAGGGGAGUGUGAUUAGCAUUAAUAAGAAUCUUAGGAUAUGUGGGGAUUGCCAUGUGGUGAUGAAGCUUGUUUCCAAAUUGUAUGAUACAGAGAUUAUUGUGAGGGAUCGCACGAGAUUCCACAGAUUCAAGGAGGGCUCUUGUUCUUGUAAAGAUUUUUGGUGAGAUCAUAAAUUUCUUGAUAUAGUCAUAUUUGUUUGAGUGCAGUUGAUUCUGAGUUAUGUAUGACGGAGUUUUAUCCUCUCAAAUUCGUUAACUCUUCUAUUUAUAGUUGUAGGUAGAAAGAUUAUGGAGGAUUUUGAUCUUGAAAAUUGGUGCAUAUUGAUGAAGUUUUGGAUUUUAUAAAUGGACAGUCCGUAAACUAUUGAAUUGGUUUUGCACAUCAACUUUAAAAUCUAAUAAUUAUUGAACUUUUAAAUUUAUCUGAAUUUCCUAAUAAGUUGGGUCAUGAUCCAAUUUAAUGCUGACGUGGACGACAAUAUUAAUUUCAGAUAAUUUUGAGCAAUUUCAAUUGAGAACGACAAUAUUUUGAUAAGUUAAUAGGUCCGUAAUCCUGUUAAAAAACUUAAAAUUGAGGGUUUGACAAAUAAAAUAAAAAAUUAUUUUGAAUUUGUAAUUUUAAUUUGAAUUUUGAAGUGUGGUUAAUUAAAUCACUUCCUUUUCAAUUUUUGCAAUUUCACCCUCUCAAUGUUUUUUCGGUUGCCAGAUUAUUGAAUUAGAGCUUACGUAAAUUAGUAAAUACAUCAUUUUUUUAGGCUUAAAUGACGCCGUUUCGUACAAUUUCAUUUAAAUAUGUCUCCAAAUUAUAAAUAGAUUGUAUCAUGUAUUUGCACCAUAAUUUUCAAUAUUUAACAAUUUUAUAGAAAACAAUGUUGUAAAUAUGAAUAUUACGUGGCAAACUAAUCCACGUAAACUCCAAUUCAACAAUCCGACGAUCGAAAAAAAUUGAGAGGANUCCAAAAAAUUUGACGUGGCUCACCGGAUGCCACAAUGUAUUUAGAAUUAUUCUUUUUUGACCUACAUUAUGUAAAAUGAUGUGAUUAUAUUCCUUAUUAAUUAAAAAUUCGAAGGGUAAAAAAUAGAUGAAGGGUACAAUUGAUACAAAAAUUGAUAGUUCAAGGUUUAAAAAAUUAUUUUUCAAUAGUUCAUGAUAUAAUUAAUAGUGCUUUUCGAGGUUUAAAGUGAUAUUUACCCAUGUUAUUUUAUGUCACAUACUAUAAUAUGUCAUGUGUAACCCAGAUCAAGUUUGAUGUGAUGACAAUUUUUUUGUCGCGGGAAAAUAAAAUGAAUAUUAAAUUCGUGUAUUUAAAUUUUAAAAAAUUAUAAAUUUUUUGAACGAUUAUGUAUGUAUACGUGAAUAACUCAUCAAAUAAAAAUUUACUACUAUUAAAUAAAUGUAGUCAAAUUACAGCAGUAAAAAAUUAGAGUGUGUUCAUCAUUUUCUGCAGAGGUGGUUACCAAAAGUAUUGUCUGGCAAAAUUUAAAUGGGCAUUAAUGGCCUACGUCGAAUCGAUCUUGCAGAAAUGCACCUCCUUCCCCCAAAUCCGGCAGCUCCACGCCCACCUCCUUGUCACCGGCCUCUUCCUCCUCCACUACUCCCGCUCCAAGUUCAUCGACUUCGCGCCACCUCCUCCGCCGCCACCCUGCCCUACAGCGCGCCAUCUCCGCUCCGUCCCACCCCCUGACCACGACUGGAACGCCCUCAUCCGCGGCCACGCGCAGAGCCCACCACCCCAUCAACGCAAUCACAUGUUACCUCCUCAUGUCGCGCGCCCCCUGCAAAUCCGACGCCCUCACCUGCUCCUUCUUCCUCAAGGCCUGCGCCCGCGCAUUAGCCCCGAUCGAGUCCUUCCAGAUGCACGCACACGUGCUGAAAUUAGGGUUCGACGCGGAUGUUCUCCUGCAGACCACGCUGCUCGACGCCUACGCCAAAUUUG
rnacentral:lncRNA from 1 species